rnacentral:rRNA from 1 species
GACGUAGGGCGCGAACGUUGUCCGGAUUUAUUGGGCGUAAAGAGCUCGUAGGCGGCUUGUCGCGUCGACUGUGAAAACCCGUGGCUCAACCAUGUGGUCUGCAGUCGAUACGGGCAGGCUAGAAUUCGGUAGGGGAGACUGGAAUUCCUGGUGUAGCGGUGAAAUGCGCAGAUAUCAGGAGGAACACCGGUGGCGAAGGCGGCUUGCUGGGCCUUACCUGACGCUGAGGAGCGAAAGCGUGGGGAGCGAACAGG